rnacentral:lncRNA from 1 species
UUUGAAUUUGAUUUUUGCUUGCAUAAAUCGUAAGCUUGUUCUAUAUUUAAAAAGUCAGAGCAAAAUGAAUCAGCAUCACGUUUGAAUUGAUUUUGUGAGUCAUCGUCGUCUACCUGCUCUCUGUCCAUAAUUGCAGCAGUUAUGCGUGGGAUCCGUGAUUUAAUAUGGACCACGCAUAUCUUCAAGUUUUCUCCCUAUAAAUUUCCAAGCAUAGACAAGAGCAAAAUAUUAACAACAAUAUGAUGAUGAGGAUUGAGGACAAUACUACCAACAAUAUGAUUAUCCUGUUUCAUUACCGAUAAUAGUUAUCCUGACAAAAAGGUCCAUACAAGAUAUAUUAUUUGAAUAAUACUAUAGAUACAAAUUAUUCUACAAAUAUUUUACAAACUGCUGAUAUGAUAUAUUUCACCUUAGUAUAUUGUGUACGGCCGAAAACUACAUUAAAACAAUUUGUUGAUCAAUAUGUUGAAGUGGAGUAUGUCACAUCAGCAGUUUGUAAAAUAUUUAUAGAAUAAUUUAUGUCUCUAUCUAACAUUACUCCUAUCAUUUUUCAUUAGAUAAUUAUGUGGGCUAUGUUAUAAAUUAGGGGCACGUGAACGAUAUGUGAUUUUUUUUUUAAAUGGACCACACAUCUCUUGUAGUUUUUUUUCCUGUAAAUUUAAGCAUCUCUUGUAGUAUCUUUCCUGUAAAUUUCGAAGCAAGCUGUACAGGAAAAACGAAUGCAGGAGGGGGGAGGGGGUCUGUUUACCUCAUGCUUCUUCGUAAGCCGUGAAGCUGAAUGUAAUCUUCAAGUCCUCUUACUGUAGCAAGAGUUGAAUUGGAUUUCCACCAUCUUCGUGAUGGUUUUUGGCACCUCAUACGAAUCAGCAUGCUUCAGCAUCUUGUGGCAAACUACCUUCGAACAGAUGAAGAAAGUACAGCGAAUCUAGGUCUCACGAGAGAAGGUCACCAUGGGGAGUGUGGGACCACCCUCAGUGGCGGAAUCAGAAGAUUUUUGUAAGGGGUCAAAAUACAUCAGUAAAAAAAUUUUAUUUAUUGACGUUUGAAGUGCUUUUUUCGGUUGUACGACUAAAAAGAGACAACUGUAUCCUACGAAUCUAUAUAGUUUGAAAACGUCUCAAAAUUUGUUCGUUUUCAAUUGUUGAAAAAAUAUAAUAAUUAAAUGUGUUUGUAAAAAUAAAAUAUAAUGAAAAAUAAAACUAUGACAACUUAUCUUUAGUCGCUUUGUUUGUUAUGGAUCAUAGAGCAAAUGGUAACGAGGAUUUUAGCUUGGUGCUCAACAGCUCAAACAUGUUUAUCCCUC